UAGGGAAUCUUCCGCAAUGGGCGAAAGCCUGACGGAGCAACGCCGCGUGAGUGAUGAAGGUCUUCGGAUCGUAAAACUCUGUUAUUAGGGAAGAACCAAUGUGUAAGUAACUAUGCACGUCUUGACGGUACCUAAUCAGAAAGCCACGGCUAACUACGUGCCAGCAGCCGCGGUAAUACGUAGGUGGCAAGCGUUAUCCGGCAUUAUUGGGCGUAAAGCGCGCGUAGGCGGUUUUUUAAGUCUGGUGUGAAAGCCCACGGCUCAACCGUGGAGGGUCAUUGGAACGUGGAAAACUUGAGUGCAGAAGAGGAAAGUGGAAUUCCAUGUGUAGCGCUGAAAUGCGCAGAGAUAUGGAGGAACACCAGUGGCGAAGGCGACUUUCUGGUCUGUAACUGACGCUGAUGUGCGAAAGCGUGGGGAUCAAACAGG
rnacentral:rRNA from 1 species